CUCUCCUAGUGGUUUGCCUGAACCCCGCCAGGUGCCUCCACAGGCCUCAUCUCCGCGGAUCUCUAUUGUACUCGUGUAGUGAUACUAGAGUACAACCGGUUCCCGAUGAGUGGUCUGCUGCAGCAAUGGAACAAGUCACGCUGGUGCCUUCAACUCUAAAGUGGAUUGCAGGAUAUCACAGUAUGUACACAUUGGAGUGGGAAUUUUAAGAUGACUGCAAGAGAAGUACUUUGGCAGGGGCUGGAAGAGAUGGCAAGUGAAACGAAAGGGUGCACGGGUGUUGUAGGGUCCUCCAGGUUCUUCCAAUGAUUCUGGAGAUGCCCAUUUGGAACUGAAAGCCUCUGAUACUGUAAGGUGGAAGGGAUGAUGCUCCAAACAAGGA